ensembl:lncRNA
AAUCUACUCACAUGCGCACACACUCACAUACAGACUCAUACAUACACACUGUACCUCUCUCCCCUUAUCUUUCCUUGGCCUCUAUUUCUUACAUCUCUCAGAGAAAAGGACAAUUUUCGUGGUAUUGCUUUGUGCCUGACUUUACUAAACUCUGGAGAAAACGAACAUUGUCGCUCGGUCCACACCUGUCCCCAUCUCAACGACGGGCAACCGGCGUACACUGUGAGGCGUCUCCUGAGGGUUCAACCUCGGGGCAGGGGGUUCCAGUACCUGGUUGACUGGGAGGGUUAUGACGGGAAACUGGCGUACACUGUGAGGCUUCUCCUGAGGGUUCAACCUCGGGGCAGGGGGUUCCGGUACCUGGUUGACUGGGAGGGUUAGAGGUGGUGGGUCCCCACCAGGGAAUUCUGGACCCAGGCCUCAUCGUGGAUUUCCAAUGCCGGCACCCUAGUCAACCAGGCCGGUGGUAGCUGGUCCCCUGCAGGAAGGUGAGGUGCCGGAGGUCCCCCUGCCCCCUCUGGACAUCGAGGGGUCCCCGGCGUACACAUGUACUGGAUGUCACCAGUGUGAACAGCCCCAGACCAAGCAGAACUCCCAGGACUCUGUACAGUUCUAGGCCCACUCAGCUGGCCUGAGACCUGUUCACUAGCACCCCAGGGCCCUGGGUAAGUAUGCCUCACUGCAUUAAUCAACACCUCAAAUAUACCAUCACUGCAUGACUUACACUGACGUUCAAGUCCCAAGACCCAACUGGUUGAAAAUUUAAAACCUACUUCUUUCUGUAGGAAAAAGCUCAUAUAGUGUAAGAACCAGUCUUGAUGUAGUUGUUUCUGAUGAUCACAUGAAUUAUUACAGCAGGUCUGAGGCCCAGUGGCUUCAUAUUGUAUUAAGCUGUGAUGUCCUGAUACUGCUGCUUGUUUUGUUUUGGGGAGGGAGUGCCCUACAGUAUGAAGGAUUACCAUGGUGCAAUUUGAUUUAAGUGAAAUGAAAUACUUUGUUCGCACAACCUGAGGCUUUGUUCAAAUUUCCUUAAUGGUGGUAAUGGUUCCUUGAAGGUGAAGCCCAAAUUAUUGACAGUCUUUGUUUGCACUGAGAGGAUACGCCAGCCAGUUUUUGUAGCCUUGAGCAUUUGCCAGAGCAAGUAUGUCUUUUAAAUUGGUCUGUCUAGACCAGUAUUAACCUUGUAGCCUCCCAGUGAGCAAUUACAGGGCACUGUGGCAGAUUUUGUUUCCACUACUCCCCUCGCUCGUUGCUUCCCCAGACCUUCAUGGACCAGGAUUGUUUUGGGCAAUGGGACCUCUUGUGUCAGGCUGUGCAGGUGUUACAUGAAGGUGUUAUUGUAAAGUUGUUUAUGCAGAAUCAAUUGGUCACUAUUGGCCAUUUCAAACUAAAGAAUUUCAAGCAUGUAAUUCAGCAUCACAGCUGGCAGUGCUGGAGCUUUAGAAUUGAGUCAAAUGUGAGAACUCAAGAUGGCACCGAUAGAGAUGGCAGCUUCGCUUUAAGUCGUUAGGAAACUGUGCAGUAUUUAGUUUUUUUAAUGUAUUAUUUCUUACAUUGUUAGCCCAGAAAACCUUAAGUGUUAUUACAUACAGCCGGGAAGAACUAUUGGAUAUCAGAGAGACGUCAACUUCCCAGCACAACCAGAACUACGAUCAGGAAUACGACUUUCCCAAAGCGGAUCCUUUGUCUGCACCUCCCAGAGCAUUUGAACUGAUUCCAGAGGCCGACCCAAAACAACGUCAUCGGAAGAGACGGUGCCGGAGCGGUCCUCUAGUGAGGCUUCGGAUGCGCGCACACCACCCACCGCUUCAGAGUAUAUUACUCGCUAAUGUCCGGUCCCUAGUUAACAAAGUCGAUGAAAUUAGGGGAAGAGUUGCUUUCCAAAGAGAUAGCCAGGAUUGUAACAUACUCUGUUUCACGAAGACAUGGCUAGCUGGGGACAUGCUGUCAGAGUCCGUUCAGCGAACGGGAUUUUCAGUGCAUUGCAACGACGUGAACAAACAUCUCUCUGGUAAGAAGAAGGGCAGGUGUGUAUAUUUCAUGAUUAACAACUCAUGGUGUAAUUGUGACAACAUACAAUAACUCAAGUCCUUUUGUUCACCUAGAAUUCCUCACAAUCAAAUGCCGACCGUGUUAUCUCCCAAGAGAACUCUCCUCGGUUAUCGGCACAGCCGUGUAUAUCCCCCCGCAAGCGGUUACCAAGACGGCCAUCAAGGAACUUCAUUUGAAUUUAUGCAAACUGGAAACCAUAUAUCCUGAGGCUGUAUUUAUUGUAGUUGGGGUUUUAACAAAGCUUAUCUGAGAACAAGGUACCUAAAUUCUAUCAGCAUAUCGAUUGCAGUACACGAGCGAGUAACACACUCAACCACUGCUACUCUAACUACCGCGAUGCAUACAAGGCCCUCCCCUGCCCUCCUUUUGGCAAAUCUGACCAUGACUCCAUAUUUCUGCUAUAGGCAGAAACUUUAACAGGAAGCACCCGUCCUUAGGUCUGUCCAAUGCUGGUCUGACCAAUUGGAUUCCACGCUUAAAAAUGGCUUCGAUCACGUGGACUGGGAUAUGUUCCGGGUAGCCUCAGACAAUGACAUUGACGUAAGUUUAUAAGAAAGUGUAUAGGAGAUGUUGUACCCACUGUGACUAUUAAAACCUUUCCUAACCAGAAACCGUGGAUUGAUGGCAGUAUUUGAGCAAAACUGAAAGCAGGUACCACCGCAUUUAAUCAUGGCAAGGCGACUGGAAACAUGACCGAAUGCAAACAGUGAGUUAUUCCCUCCGUAAGGCAAUAAAACAAGCAAAGCGUCAGUAUAGAGACAAAGUGGAGUCGCAAUUCAACGGCUCAAACAUGAGACGUAUGUGGCAGGGUCUACAGACAAUCACGGAUUACAAAAGGAAAACCAGCCCCGUUGCGGACAACGAUGUCUUGCUCCCAGACAAAUUAAAUAACUUAUUUGCUUUGAGGACAAUACUGUGCCACCGACACGACACGCUACCAAAGACUGUGGGCUAUCCUUCUUUGUGGCCGACAUGAAUAAAACGUUUAAACGUAUUAACCCUCGCAAGGCUGCCGGCCCAGAUGACAUCCCUAGCCGUGUCCUCAGAGCAUGCGCAGACCAGCUGGCUGGUGUGUUUACAGACACAUUCAAUCAAUCCCUAUCUCAGUCUGCUGUCCCCACAUGCUUCAAGAUGGCCACCAUUGUUCCUGUUCCCAGGAAAGCAAAUGUAACUGAACUAAAUGACUAUCGCCCCGUAGCACUCACAUUUCUCAUCAUGAAGUGCAUUAAGAGGCGAGUCAAGGAUCAUGUCACCUCCACCCUACCUGUUACCCUAGACCCACUCAAUUUGCUUACCGCCCCAAUAGGUCCACAGACGAUGCAAUCGCCAUCACACUGCACACUGCCCUAUCCCAUCUGAACAAGAGGAAUACCUAUGUAAGAAUGCUGUUCAUUGACUACAGCUCAGCAUUCAACACCAUAGUGCCCUCCAAACUCAUCAUUAAGCUUGAGACCCAUGGUCUCGACCCCACCCUGUGCAACUGGGUCCAGGACUUCCUGAUGGGCCGCCCCCAGGUGGUGAAGGUAGGAAACAACAUCUCCACUCCGCUGAUCAACAACACUGGGGCUCCACAAGGGUGCGUUCUCAGCCCUCUCCUGUACUCCCUGUUCACCCACGACUGCGUGGCCAUGCACGCCUCCAACUCAAUCAUCAAGUUUGCAGAUUACACUCCAAUGGUAGAUUUGAUUAUCAACAACGACGAGACAGCCUACAGGGAGGAGGUGAGGGCCCUCGGAGUGGGGUGUCCGGAAAACAACCUCUCACUCAAUGUCACCAAAACAAAAGAGAUGAUCGUGGACUUCAGGAAACAGCAAAGGUAGUACCCAACUAUCCACAUCAACCGGACAGCAGUGGAGAAGGUGGAAAGUUCCUUGGUGUAUAUAUCACCAACAAACUGAAAAGGUCCACGUACACAGUGCCUCUUCAACCUCAGGAGGCUGAAAAAAAUGUGGCUUGUCACGAAAUCGCUCACUAACUUUUACAGGUGCACAAUCGAGAGCAUCCUGUCGGGCUGUAUCACCGCGUGCUAUGGCAAUUGCACUGCCCACAACCGCAGGGCUCUCCAGAGGGUGGUGCGGUUUGCACAAUGGAUCACCAGGGGCAAACUACCUGCCCUCCAGGACACCUACACCACCCAUUAGCACAGGAAGGCAAAAAAGAUAACCAAGGACAAUAACCACCCAAGUCACUACCUAUUCACCCUGCUUCCAUCCAGAAGGCGAGGUCAGUACAGGUGCAUCAGAGCUGGGACAGAGAGAUUGAAAAACAGCUUCUAUCUUAAGGCUAAUAAAUGGAAUUCUUGUCACUUUAAUUAAUAAUGUUUACAUAUCUCGCAUUGCUUAUCUCAUAUGUAUAUACUGUAUACUGUAUCCUUCACUAUCUAUUCUUUACUAUCUAUUGCAUCUUAGCCGCUCUGUCACUGCUCAUCCAUAUAUUUUAUACUUAUAUAUUCUCAUCCCAUUCCUUUACUAGAUUGUGUGUAUUCGGUUUGUUGUGGAAUUUGUCAUUUUUAGGUUUUGUUGUGGAAUUGUUAGAUAUUACCUGUUAGAUACUACUGCACUGUCAGAUCUAGAAGCAUAAGCAUUUCACUACACUCACAAUAACAACUGCUAACCAUGUGUACGUGACCAAUAAAAUUUGAUUUGAUUUGAUGUUUGGCACAUCAGCUAGAGGUUAAGGUGUUUCUUACAGACCAAUUGGAUUGGGAUCAACCUGCCCUCAGAACGCCACAAUGACCAUCAUGCUUAGUUGACCAUGAGAAUGUGGCUUUUUUGUUUUCCCUCACCUGUACACAUUUGUUGGACUAUUUUUGAAGUGAGGGGGAAAUUUGAGAGCUAGGGUGACGUCCCGUAACCAUUGUGUGGGGCAUUAAUUGAGGAUUUGGGCCUCAUUUGCCGCUAAGGCACAAUUUCCACUUGGAGCACAGCUGAAAGAAAGGUGAAAUCUCCUAGGAUUGUGUAGGAAAUUCAAUGUAAGUGACUUUUCUUUCUGCCAUAUUGUUUACAUACAUGCAACUUACCCCCAAAAGCCUAUAUGAGGAUAAAGUGUCCUGUGUUAGAUUUAUCUCGCGGGGUCCUCAAGGGGCUCAGACUUCAUCUUAAGACCGAUUGGCUCUGCACAUUCAUUCCUCAGCUGACUGCCCCUAAACACAGACGAGGCUACAACAUUGUUGGAAGAGGAAGUCACUUUGUAAUUUUAUUUAAUUGCAGACUUCCCCUCAACAAUGGCCUAGCAGACAGAGGGAGCCGUGGAAAGGGGGACUUUGCAUGGACCAAGGACUCGGAAUUGUGCAAACUGACAUGUUUUCUUAUGGCCCUCCAUUUUUCUGUCAUGUUGAAGGAAGAUGAGGUUAACUAAGACUUAACUCCGAUAACGCCCAAUGAGAUGAGUGUCAUUGAGCAGCAGACCUUGCUUGAGUAAGCAGCUCUACAUGCUGGAUAGACAAAAAGCGAGACAAAGAGAGAGUAAAGGGAUGGAAAGAGAGGGAUGGAAAGAAAGAGAGAAAAAGAUAAUUCUUUAGUAAUAACAGAUAUUAUAGCAGAAAAUGGUGCCACAGGCUGAGAUUCAAACAAUCUUUGCACUGUGAUCCUGAUUCAAAAGUGUAAAAUAUUUCCUUGUUUCCAUGUGUGUCAACUGUCAAAAUGCCUAUAGAAUAUGUGUACAACCACUUGAUUAAUUUAUAUAUAGGGUUUUUCUUUGUUUGUACAAUUUUCUACAUUGUAGAAUAAUAGUGAAGACAUCAACACUGUGAAAUAACACAUAUGGAAUCAUGUAGUAACAAAAAAGUGUUAAACAUAAUAAAAUAUAUUUUAUUUUGGAGAUUCUCCAAAGUAGCCACUAAGGAGGUGUGGGAAGCCCAGCCGACCCCCUUUUUGCAGCGUGGUGGAACACAGAGACGACGAGGGAGCAGAUAACAGCCAUAUGGCUAGUAGUAAGGGAACAUAUGGAGAAGGCCCAGCGCGCCCAAGCCAAGGUCUACAAUUGGGGUACCCGGCCCCGAGAGUUCCAUGUGGGUGACAAGGUGCUAGUUUUUUAAGUGCGCCCAGGUGGAACUGGACACACUCAGGCAAGCCGGGUUGACAGCGAAUGCCAAGAAUGCAAGCUGGGGUUCGAGGAUGUUGAGUACCUAGGGUACGGCAAGCCCCAGGAGAGGAAGGUCCAGUUGGUUUGUGACUGGCCCGUUCUCCGCACCAAGACAUGCUGAUUCCUUCCGAAAACAGUGAAGUGGUCGUAUGAGGCCGAAGCUGUGUUCAGGCACCUGAAGGAAGCCUUGUGCUCCCAUCCAAUUCUCGGGACACACCAUUUCCAGGUACUGAUGCUGGUGCAGACGGAUGCCUGCGACACGGGACUAGGGGCCAUCCUGUCCCAGGUAUACGAUGGGGAGGAACACCCCAUCAUGUACAAAAGCCGGAAGUUGAUACCUGAGCAAAGAAGUACUUGAUUGUCAAGAGAGUGUCUAGCGGUGAAGUGGGCGCUAGAUACUCUUAAGUAUUACCUGUUGGGCACUCACUCACCCUGGUCACAGACCAUGCUCCUCCGGCCAGGACUAAUUGAGGCUGAUUGAGACUGGUGAGUAAUCAAGGCGCUGAAUGCUCACCAGCCAUACGGGGCCCAUAAAGGUGCCAGGAGUGCAGCACACGGGAGGGUUGGAGGUAGCGAGAGGUUGCUACCAGAUAGACGUCCUCACAGUCUGCUAGAACCGAGGGGCUAGGUGUUCUACCCCAGGGGAGACGGCAUUCCCCAGAGCCCAGAAGGCGUUAACCCAGAAGUGGUCUCCUUGAGGAGACCGGUUUCUUUUCUUUUUCUUUAUCAUUUUAAAUAAACACCCUUGAAA